AUGAAGACUUUGCCCAAGUUGCAGCAGCGCUCGUCAAAGCACACCCAUGUUUGAGUGAACCAGGCUCCUCAACAGGCUCAGCUGGUUGGAAAAACAGCCUGAAAUUUAAGAUGGCCAACUACCGAACUAAACUGCGUAAAUCUGGCUGUAGUGAUGUUGCUGUUGAGGGAAAGAGAGGUGCAACAAUGGACAGCAUGCUAAAGAAAGGCAUUAAAAAACCUAGACGGUUUAAAUUAAAUUUCUUGCCAAACUUUCCCAAUGGGGAGAAUGAAGAAAGUCAAGAACGCACAAGAGUAGAACUUCAAGAGGAAAUGAAAAAGAGGACCCGGAACAUGAGCCUGAUUGGCCAGAAGAUGGACAGCACUUUUGCCCUGAGGAGAAAGGAAAUCAUUCAUUCAGAACCUCCUGUUUGUGAAAUUUUGGAGAAGUGGCCAGCACUUUUUACUGAAAAUCAGAUCUUUGCAGAAUUCAGUCGCAUAUCUGGGAAAAAUCUUGAGAUCCGAGUUCUACGCAUCAUUGGACACACACUCUGCACGUUUGAUUGAAAUUUUCCGAAAGAAAGGAGGAAAUCAGGGAUUCAGAUGUAGAUGUUGACUUAAGUGGAGUUGAUGUUGGCCUGCUCACAGUUUUACCUGAAGAUACGCCUGCCCAAACUCCAAAUGCUCUCAAUGUUGACUCAUCAAGGGCAAUCAUUCUGGAGGGAAGAAUUGUUGUGGAUGAUGUCCCAAACUUGCCACAUGCUGUAUGUCUCCUCUUUGCUUUAAUCUAUGCUCUAAAUUUGGACUACCCAAAGACAAUGAGGAACUCAUUUGAUUUUAUUCAGAGGGUAUUUCUGUUGUUGGGAGGUAAGAAUCUUAAUCCCAAACUCCAAACCCUUAAAAAACAGUUUUUAGCUAAACCUUAGCUAAAUGCCUCCGCUGCCAACCAGCUCUUAGCUAAAUGCCUCUGCUACCUGUUAAAUAUUUUUGUUAGAUUAUUUUGUAAUUGCACUAAUUUAAGUGUGCAAAAGUUUAAACCUACACUGUAUUUCAGGCUUAUUUUCUGACUUCAUGAGAGCACUGGUUUUGCUUUUGGUUCAGUUAUGGUUUAAAUUGAACUAUUUCUAAAGCCAAAUGUCUAUAUUUUAGGCAUUUUAUAAUUGUACUACUUUUAAUAGACAUUGGCUUCAGUUCUUCUUACAAAUAGCUUACAGUAUUAUAGUUAUAACUGAAUGUUUCUACAGCCGAACGUUUAUUUUAAGGCCUAUAUUUGUCUGCAUGGUGCUGUGCAAUUGUUUUUUUACAGUGAGGUAUAAGAGGUCUGUUCAGACAGAACUGCAUUUACAAGUUAUUUGUAAUGUUCUUGACAAUCUG